rnacentral:rRNA from 1 species
ACAAGUACCGUGAGGGAAAGUUGCAAAGCACUUUGAAGAGAGAGUUAAAGAGGACGUGAAACCGAUGGGAUGGAAACGGACAGAGCUGGCGUAUCUGGUCUGCAUUCAUCCGUGUGUUCUUGGGCGUUUGGAUUGCCACUCUCCAGACUGGGAUGGUGUUCAUUCUGCUCAGGGGCUCAUGGAGCAUUUGCAGGCGGAGUGCGCUGAGAUGCUCGGGACAGCUGCAUGAGCUUGGCUUUGAGGCCAGCCCUUCGGGGUCUGGUACCCGGGCUGUGGGAGUGCUGUUUGUUCUGGGUGCUGAGUGUGUGCAAUGGCAACGGGUCCGUGUUGGUUUGAGCUGGUGGUUGGUGGCGGUCGCGUGCGACACGUGCCGGCAGUCAGUUCGGUCCUGCUCGGGCUCUCAUUGCAUGUUCUCGGUGUAAAAGCCGGUCAUCUGUCCGACCCGUCUUGAAACACGGACCAAGGAGUUUAGCGUGUGCGCGAGUCAUUGGGAGUUGAAAACCCAAGGGCGUAAUGAAAGUGAAGGUCUCCUUGCGGAGCUGAUGUGUGAUCUCGUGCACCCCGGUGUGCGGGCGCAACAUAGUCCCGUCCCGAUCGCAUGCGAUGGGGCGGAGACAGAGCGUACGCGCUGAGACCCGAAAGAUGGUGAACUAUUCCUGAGCAGGAUGAAGCCAGAGGAAACUCUGGUGGAAGUCCGAAGCGAUUCUGACGUGCAAAUCGAUCGUCUGACUUGGGUAUAGGGGCGAAAGACUAAUCGAACCAUCUAGUAGCUGGUUCCUUCCGA